rnacentral:lncRNA from 1 species
UAUAUUUACACAUAGAAUAUAAUUAAGUCAUUUGUUUCAUUCAUAUCUUAGCCUUAUAUACUAAGGUCUCACAAAUAUAUCGUAUCCUUUUCUCUUGUUGUUCCAAUAAGUGCAACAAGAAAAAAAGAUCAAGAUGAAGAUCUUAAUGUUGAGAAGAACAACAAGAAAAAGACUUUUGUUGAAGAUGAUGUUGGAUCCAUGGCCAGAUGAUGGAACAAAGAAGUGAUCACAAGAAAAUAUGCCCUCUAGGCAAGUCUGAUGCUUGGCUUUUUCAUCUCUCUUUGUUGGUUUAAUUUCCACAUAAUCAUCAAAUAAUGUUUACUAUCUUAGUAUAUAUUAUCAUAAUAUCAUGUUAUUUAUAAGAUAUUAUUUAAGUUAUCUAUUUCACUAUGUCUAUGAAUAAUCCUUCUCACUUUCUCUGUUGAGAUGAUGAGUUGAUGAUAUUAUUAUGUAGCCUUCUUUGUCUGCUUAUGCUAUGCCAUAGCUGCAUUUUUAUUACUAUUUCUAUGAAUAAGAAUCAGUUUUUUUUCCCCUGUUCUUAAUUUAUUGAGUUGAUCUAUGUAAUGACAAUUCAUAUUUAAAGUGUAUCUGAUGUCCAACAUGUGUCAGAACCUAACAUUGACAGAUGAGUUACUAAUGAUUAAUUCUAUUUUCUUAAAAUAUAUAUUACGGAUGUCAACGUAUGACAUGUUUGUGUCAAUGCUUCAUAUAAUAUACAUUUGGCAAGGUUAGAAAAUUA